rnacentral:rRNA from 1 species
UAAUGGGUCAGCGACUUAUAUUCUGUAGCAAGGUUAACCGAAUAGGGGAGCCGAAGGGAAACCGAGUCUUAACUGGGCGUUAAGUUGCAGGGUAUAGACCCGAAACCCGGUGAUCUAGCCAUGGGCAGGUUGAAGGUUGGGUAACACUAACUGGAGGACCGAACCGACUAAUGUUGAAAAAUUAGCGGAUGACUUGUGGCUGGGGGUGAAAGGCCAAUCAAACCGGGAGAUAGCUGGUUCUCCCCGAAAGCUAUUUAGGUAGCGCCUCGUGAAUUCAUCUCCGGGGGUAGAGCACUGUUUCGGCAAGGGGGUCAUCCCGACUUACCAACCCGAUGCAAACUGCGAAUACCGGAGAAUGUUAUCACGGGAGACACACGGCGGGUGCUAACGUCCGUCGUGAAGAGGGAAACAACCCAGACCGCCAGCUAAGGUCCCAAAGUCAUGGUUAAGUGGGAAACGAUGUGGGAAGGCCCAGACAGCCAGGAUGUUGGCUUAGAAGCAGCCAUCAUUUAAAGAAAGCGUAAUAGCUCACUGGUCGAGUCGGCCUGCGCGGAAGAUGUAACGGGGCUAAACCAUGCACCGAAGCUGCGGCAGCGACACUAUGUGUUGUUGGGUAGGGGAGCGUUCUGUAAGCCUGUGAAGGUGGCCUGUGAGGGUUGCUGGAGGUAUCAGAAGUGCGAAUGCUGACAUAAGUAACGAUAAAGCGGGUGAAAAGCCCGCUCGCCGGAAGACCAAGGGUUCCUGUCCAACGUUAAUCGGGGCAGGGUGAGUCGACCCCUAAGGCGAGGCCGAAAGGCGUAGUCGAUGGGAAACAGGUUAAUAUUCCUGUACUUGGUGUUACUGCGAAGGGGGGACGGAGAAGGCUAUGUUGGCCGGGCGACGGUUGUCCCGGUUUAAGCGUGUAGGCUGGUUUUCCAGGCAAAUCCGGAAAACCAAGGCUGAGGCGUGAUGACGAGGCACUACGGUGCUGAAGCGACAAAUGCCCUGCUUCCAGGAAAAGCCUCUAAGCAUCAGGUAACAUCAAAUCGUACCCCAAACCGACACAGGUGGUCAGGUAGAGAAUACCAAGGCGCUUGAGAGAACUCGGGUGAAGGAACUAGGCAAAAUGGUGCCGUAACUUCGGGAGAAGGCACGCUGAUAUGUAGGUGAAGCGACUUGCUCGUGGAGCUGAAAUCAGUCGAAGAUACCAGCUGGCUGCAACUGUUUAUUAAAAACACAGCACUGUGCAAACACGAAAGUGGACGUAUACGGUGUGACGCCUGCCCGGUGCCGGAAGGUUAAUUGAUGGGGUUAGCGGUAACGCGAAGCUCUUGAUCGAAGCCCCGGUAAACGGCGGCCGUAACUAUAACGGUCCUAAGGUAGCGAAAUUCCUUGUCGGGUAAGUUCCGACCUGCACGAAUGGCGUAAUGAUGGCCAGGCUGUCUCCACCCGAGACUCAGUGAAAUUGAACUCGCUGUGAAGAUGCAGUGUACCCGCGGCAAGACGGAAAGACCCCGUGAACCUUUACUAUAGCUUGACACUGAACAUUGAGCCUUGAUGUGUAGGAUAGGUGGGAGGCUUUGAAGUGUGGACGCCAGUCUGCAUGGAGCCGACCUUGAAAUACCACCCUUUAAUGUUUGAUGUUCUAACGUUGGCCCGUAAUCCGGGUUGCGGACAGUGUCUGGUGGGUAGUUUGACUGGGGCGGUCUCCUCCUAAAGAGUAACGGAGGAGCACGAAGGUUGGCUAAUCCUGGUCGGACAUCAGGAGGUUAGUGCAAUGGCAUAAGCCAGCUUGACUGCGAGCGUGACGGCGCGAGCAGGUGCGAAAGCAGGUCAUAGUGAUCCGGUGGUUCUGAAUGGAAGGGCCAUCGCUCAACGGAUAAAAGGUACUCCGGGGAUAACAGGCUGAUACCGCCCAAGAGUUCAUAUCGACGGCGGUGUUUGGCACCUCGAUGUCGGCUCAUCACAUCCUGGGGCUGAAGUAGGUCCCAAGGGUAUGGCUGUUCGCCAUUUAAAGUGGUACGCGAGCUGGGUUUAGAACGUCGUGAGACAGUUCGGUCCCUAUCUGCCGUGGGCGCUGGAGAACUGAGGGGGGCUGCUCCUAGUACGAGAGGACCGGAGUGGACGCAUCACUGGUGUUCGGGUUGUCAUGCCAAUGGCACUGCCCGGUAGCUAAAUGCGGAAGAGAUAAGUGCUGAAAGCAUCUAAGCACGAAACUUGCC